rnacentral:rRNA from 1 species
GACAGAGGUCUCAAGCGUUGUUCGGAUUCAUUGGGCGUAAAGGGUGCGUAGGCGGCGGGGUAAGUCUGAUGUGAAAUCCCGGGGCUCAACUCCGGAACUGCAUUGGAUACUGCUCUGCUUGAGUACUGGAGAGGAGACUGGAAUUUACGGUGUAGCAGUGAAAUGCGUAGAUAUCGUAAGGAAGACCAGUGGCGAAGGCGAGUCUCUGGACAGUUACUGACGCUGAGGCACGAAGGCUAGGGGAGCAAACGGG